GACGAACGCUGGCGGCGUGCCUAAUACAUGCAAGUUGAGCGCUGAAGGUUGGUACUUGUACCAACUGGAUGAGCAGCGAACGGGUGAGUAACGCGUGGGGAAUCUGCCUUUGAGCGGGGGACAACAUUUGGAAACGAAUGCUAAUACCGCAUAAAAACUUUAAACACAAGUUUUAAGUUUGAAAGAUGCAAUUGCAUCACUCAAAGAUGAUCCCGCGUUGUAUUAGCUAGUUGGUGAGGUAAAGGCUCACCCAGGCGAUGAUACAUAGCCGACCUGAGGGGGUGAUCGGCCACAUUGGGACUGAGACACGGCCCAAACUCCUACGGGAGGCAGCAGUAGGGAAUCUUCGGCAAUGGACGAAAGUCUGACCGAGCAACGCCGCGUGAGUGAAGAAGGUUUUCGGAUCGUAAAACUCUGUUGGUAGAGAAGAACGUUGGUGAGAGUGGAAAGCUCAUCAAGUGACGGUAACUACCCAGAAAGGGACGGCUAACUACGUG
rnacentral:rRNA from 1 species